UGGAUAGCACAGAAGUUUGCGGCCCUGAGGACUGUUUUGAACAUGAGAGCUUGUGGGUGUGACUGGGUCUUCCCUAUUACAACUGGUGCUUUCCCCACAUGAAAAAACGCUGUGCAGAGCUCUGCACAAGGCCAAGCGGGUGCCACCCUCGAGAACAAGCCUUGCCUUCUGUCCUGCCCAGCGUGAGAAAAACAAGUCACACAGGGAAUCUUCAAACAAGGUGGCGUGGAGCAAAAGGGGAAGAAAGAAUUUGCCAUCAUGAAGCCUGUGGCCCUUCGAUGGGAUCCAGUGAUGUAUUUCCUGUAGCAGACUCAGCCCCAGAUGCGUACUAACUCUUGGCUCUGGUGAAACAUAGUACUUGGGUAAUUACUGUACACAGAGCUACACACAGAGUGAGAAGACCACGCGAGCACACGGUGGGACGUCUGUGAGCCGAGGAGAGACGCCUGGGCAGAAAGCGAACCUGUGCAUACCUUGGUCUUGGACCCUGGCCUCUGUUACUGAGAAGGAAGUUGGCCUAUUUCAGCACCCGCUCUAGCAUUGUGUUAGGCAGCUCUGGCAGACUCUAGCACAGGGGAAUCAUUCCUCCUCUUCACUCUCUACAGGAAUAAAUGCAGAGAAGUGCCAGAGUUCAUUUUCUUUACCAACUUCAGAGGCCCAGUUAGGAUAAGAUUGUACCUCUUGAAUAAAAAUUGACAAAAAAAUCACUGAUGUUUUUGAGAGCACAAGAAGCAUCCUUACGUUUCCUUAGCAUGUGUGUCUUCUGCAUGUGAACCUUUCCCUGUGUUUUCCGUCUUGGUCACAUAGGUUGUGCUAUGAUCUGGCAGUGUAGACUGUCAAGAAAAGUUUUAAGUCUUAGAAAUAAAUGUGUAAUGAAUAAAGUGUAACUGUGAAAUAUGUUUUAUUUUCAUUCCAUUUCACAAUGCAAAAUUUUUGGAAAAUGGGUACUUUAUAAAAAAAACUUCUUUCUUUUUUCUUCAUGAAGCUAGUCAAACCACCAGAAUUACUUGUCAAGUCCUUAUCUUGUGUCUUUUUUAUUGUGCAGAAACAGCUAUGGGCUGCAGGUGAGAAAAUUAUAUUGCCCCUGCCAUGGCCUUUGUAUGAGUGUAAUGGCUUGUGUCCCCCCAAAGCUCCUGUGGUCAUGGGUGGGGCUUUUUCAAAAGUGGCUUGUGUGUGACAUUGGAAUUGAUUCACAGCGCAAUGCUAUCUGAAAUCAAGGGCAUUAGGAGCAAGGGUUUGAGUGCCACCUGCCCUCAGCAGCCUGGAUAAGAGACAGGGGUUAGAAACAGCUGCGGCUGUCCCUUGUUUGUUAUGUUCUGCCUGCUAUGAACUGUUUCUUCUCUGCAUUGCCUGUCUGCCUGCCACCCUGCUUUGGAGCCCCCUGUUUAUGGACUGAAACGUCCACAAACUGUGAGUUAAAUAAACGCCUCCUCUAUUAACUUGUGGGUGGUGAGAAUUUUGUCUUAGCAACAAGAAAAGUGAGACAAUAAGUCAACCAAGAAACAGAAGCACUGGUUUUGAAAAUUAUUAAGCUGAGUUGUAAACUUUAAAAAAAUGAAAACCCAGUAAAGUCUUGUAUUUCUUUAUGAAUCUGAUUUUGAUUGCAAAUAUUGUAUGAAGUUGGAAAUAUUUCAUGUUCAUAUACUAAAAAUACAUUGACAAGGUGGCUGGUCCUCAUCUAUGUUCUUCUGUAGCAAUGUCUUUUGUUCUCUGUAUCUUUCCUUUUAGAGACCAGCAGUGUUGUUAAUAAUUACCAAACUCAUUAGAAAUUAUAGUGCUGUCACAGAUGUUCAAGAGACAAAGGUAGGAGACUGUGUUUUCUCCUUUGCAAAAGAAGAUUUCAAAAGCUGUUUGUAAAGUUAAUUACCACAAAACGAUUCUAUUAAAAAUAGUACCUACAUGUUCUA